rnacentral:rRNA from 1 species
AUUGAACGCUGGCGGCAGGCCUAACACAUGCAAGUCGAGCGAGCGGCGGACGGGUGAGUAAUGUCUGGGAAACUGCCUGAUAGCGGGGGAUAACUACUGGAAACGGUAGCUAAUACCGCAUUCCCUCAGAUGUGCCCAGAUGGGAUUAGCGAGUAGGUGGGGUAACGGCUCACCUCGUCGACGAUCCCUAGCUGGUCUGAGAGGAUGACCAGCCAAACUGGAACUGAGACACGGUCCAGAUUCCUACGGGAGGCAGCAGUGGGGAAUAUUGCACAAUGGGCGCAAGCCUGAUGCAGCCAUGCCGCGUGGGUGAAGAAGGCCUUCGGGUUGUAAAGCACUUUCAGCGGGGAGGCGUUACCCGCAGAAGAAGCACCGGCUAACUCCGUGCCAGCCGCCGCGGUAAUAC